rnacentral:lncRNA from 1 species
UUUUGCCGAAAAAGUUAAACUUGCAUUCAAACUUUCAAAUCGUUCAAGAGUACAUGAAUAAAUUCAGAGGGGACAUUUUCCCCAUUCCAACUACGAUCAGCUAUUGAACUACUAUGUCUCGCUAUGAAGUGAGCCACGUUGUUCGCGGAUCGUUUAACAAAUUUUAGAAUCACCUUACGGUUAUCUAAUUCAGAGAGAAGAUUCUUGCAC